rnacentral:lncRNA from 1 species
UCAAGACUGACCCCGGAGAACCCAGAAGCUUCAAAACUCAACACCGUUUCUUCGACCCGAAAUCCGGCGAAAACGACCCGGCGGUAUCUCCACCUUCCGGUCGAUUGGCGGAAUCGAACAAGCAGUAUUCUCUUCACCUCGACGGCGCGAAGCUGAACAUGGGCUCGGAUUGCUCAACCAAACCUUCAUGAUAGCAAAACUAAGCGAGAAAUCUACGGCAGUUUAGAUGCAUUUUCCGGGGACUCUAGUCACCGACGAUAGCAACUGAAAAUUGGUUGAGUUGGUGAGAUGAAGUGAGCUAUCUCUGUAAAUGGAAAACAACAGAAUAGCUAUGGUUGACGUGCUUCAGAAUAUCAAGUUCGUUGUUUCCAGAUUUUGAAAGCAUGGACUUGGCGGAAUGGAAGUACGGAACUACAAUGAAGUCUGGGAGUUCAUAAUUAUUAGCAUGUAUCAUUGAAGGUAAAUUCCUUAGGGCUUAGAAAAGACGCCCGACCAUAAUUGAUGAAGAUUUGUUGAUUUCUGCUUGGACCAAGAACCCAGCUGAAUAAAGAGACAAAAUUGGUCAAAGUUUUAAGUAAGGUAAGCUGAGAUUUCUUUCUAGGGUAUGGAGUCAUGAUACUGUAAAUAUGAAGUUUGUGAUGUUUGAAUUAAGUUGCAAAGCUUUAGCUGUAAUCAUGGUUCGAUGUUAUCUGGAAGUUCAGGAAUGAAUUUGUCAAAAUUGUUAAUUUAUUUGGCAUAG